GGUGCGAACACUCUGAGUAACACGGAGUGCAAUGGAUGUUAUUUUAAGGUCUUGGUAGAGGUAAAUUUGACACCACUGUUUGUUUUUGCGGUUUUUGCAAAACCUGUAUCAAUAGUUCUUUUAAGAACUAAAACAUUUUUUUCCAAAAAUCGGCUAAAAUGGGCCUUUGCUGUUUCCCGUGACCUGUUGACCGUAAAUUCACGCCAAAUCUUUCUAGAAUUUUCUAGCGUAUUAUUUUAAGGCGAGAACUCGAGCUUGUCGGGCGUAACCUCGCGACGGGUUUUUUAAGACAUCGCCUUCAAGUUUUCGGGAUCUGAUAGAUAAUUAUGCCAUGUCAUAAAGUGUGUGAGGAAUUUCCGAUUUUCGACGAAGAUCACUAGCACUUUUCGUGUCCAAAUUUCGCCAGAAAUGAAAGUUUCAACUUUGAUUCGUGAUAUUUUGUUGACAGUGUCAAAUAACAAAAAGUCCUCACACACUUUGGUAGAUCAUCUAUCUGUCAUUGAGAUGCAAUUACGUGCAUGUGCAUGCGCAAUAACGCGAAGCUGCAUUACGCUCUAAAGUAAACUCCGUACUUUUGAGUUUGAGGCCUCAAAACUUAAACACGGAAUUAGCUAUUGCAAAAAUGAAACUAGCUGGAGAUAAUUCAAUAUUUAUCUUUUAUUUGAUAUAUAUAGUUUGUACAUGUAGUGAAAAUUGCGGUGCGACAAUAUUUUUUUUUCCGCGGACACGUCGUUUAACUUAACCGAGACCUUAAAGAGCCUGAGUCACGAAACGAAAAUAGAGUUUAUUUGAAUAUUGAUAUCUGAAAAACACUGGCUGAAAAUUUGAGCGAAAUCGUUUAAAACCUCGAAAAGUUAUUGUUUUUAAGGGAAUUUCAAACUUUCCGCGCUUUUUGUCCCCUCCAUCAAUCGCUCGGCCAAGCAAUCACGUGACGACGCUUUCGAUCACGUGUGCGUGCUCGGCGUCAUAAUGUUGGUUUAGUUCAAUAUGGCGGACAGAGAAAGUAAGACUUGCGACGGUGACCCUCGCGAUAAAAGGAAAAAAUAAGGGCCGAUUUUGUGUAGCAGGCCUACCGAAUAAUGUUAGCUGCAAAAAUACGUCUUACACGGAUAAUAUUUCGAUGCAUAACUUUCCCAAAGACCGCAAAUUGAGGCACGAGUGGGAGAAAUUUGUACGGAAACAUUGACCGGACUUUCGUGCACGAGGUGACAACAUCUCACUAUAUUCGGACCACUUUAAGAAAGAGUGUUAUGAUGGGCCGAAGCUCAAUGUUGGAAAUUUAAAGUUUAAUAGACGGCUAAUCCCCGGGUCGAUUCCAACCGAGGACGGCGGUAAGAAGACAGAAGAGGAACCGUCCGCUCGUGAGCAAAGACACACUAUGUAGAUGAUAUCAGCAAGGUACUCUUCACUGUACCACUGGAGGAGUUGACAGCUAUUCGUGAGAGAUACCAAAAAAAGGUGCCAGAGCCCCUUAGCCAACAAUUUCCAAAUAGAGUGUCCAGAAGUGAAGCCAUCCAGGUUUAUGAGAAGAGGAAAAGGCAAAGCGCCACCCCCCUUUAUCCAUCAGGUACGUGUGGCAAUGGCUUAAGGCCUGGCUAAACAUUUAAACAUGUUUGUCAAACAUUGCAUUUGGUGGAUAUCCACACCUUCAACAGCAGU